rnacentral:rRNA from 1 species
AUUGAACGCUGGCGGCAGGCCUAACACAUGCAAGUCGAGCGGAUGAAGGGAGCUUGCUCCUGGAUUCAGCGGCGGACGGGUGAGUAAUGCCUAGGAAUCUGCCUGGUAGUGGGGGAUAACGUCCGGAAACGGGCGCUAAUACCGCAUACGUCCUGAUGUUGAAAGUGGGGGAUCUUCGGACCUCACGCUAUCAGAUGAGCCUAGGUCGGAUUAGCUAGUUGGUUGGGUAAAGGCCUACCAAGGCGACGAUCCGUAACUGGUCUGAGAGGAUGAUCAGUCACACUGGAACUGAGACACGGUCCAGACUCCUACGGGAGGCAGCAGUGGGGAAUAUUGGACAAUGGGCGAAAGCCUGAUCCAGCCAUGCCGCGUGUGUGAAGAAGGUCUUCGGAUUGUAAAGCACUUUAAGUUGGGAGGAAGGGAAGUAAGUUAAUACCUUGCUGUUUUGACGUUACCAAAAGAAAAAGCACCGGCUAACUUCGUG